rnacentral:rRNA from 1 species
GUAGUCCACGCCCUAAACGAUGUCGACUAGUUGUCGGGGGUUUACACCUUCGGUAACGCAGCUAACGCGUGAAGUCGACCGCCUGGGGAGUACGGUCGCAAGAUUAAAACUCAAAGGAAUUGACGGGGACCCGCACAAGCGGUGGAUGAUGUGGAUUAAUUCGAUGCAACGCGAAAAACCUUACCUACCCUUGACAUGCCCGGAAUCUCGCAGAGAUGUGAGAGUGCCCGAAAGGGAGCCGGGACACAGGUGCUGCAUGGCUGUCGUCAGCUCGUGUCGUGAGAUGUUGGGUUAAGUCCCGCAACGAGCGCAACCCUUGUCACUAGUUGCUACGAAAGGGCACUCUAGUGAGACUGCCGGUGACAAACCGGAGGAAGGUGGGGAUGACGUCAAGUCCUCAUGGCCCUUAUGGGUAGGGCUUCACACGUCAUACAAUGGCCGGUACAGAGGGCUGCCAACCCGCGAGGGGGAGCCAAUCCCAGAAAACCGGUCGUAGUCCGGAUUGCAGUCUGCAACUCGACUGCAUGAAGUCGGAAUCGCUAGUAAUCGCGGAUCAGCAUGUCGCGGUGAAUACGUUCCCGGGUCUUGUACACACCGCCCGUCACACCAUGGGAGUGGGUUUCACCAGAAGCCGUUUGCCUAACCGCAAGGAGGGCGGCGACCACGGUGAGAUUCAUGACUGGGGUG